UUUAAAAUAUUUUGAUAACAAUAACGAUAAAUACGUAGCCUAUAGAUAGGAAAGACAGCAAUUAUUAGUCGAGUUUAAAAACGGGCCAUUAUUUACUAGCUAUUAUAACUUUUGCGUCGACCGACUUGCAAGCUCCUUACUGCUCUAAGUAAAUCAAAAUUCACUAAAAAAAUGUCCAAGUUCAUUUUCAUUUUUAUAUGUAUAGCUGCGAUGUUUGCUAUUGGAGAUUGUGCUGAUCUUCAAGGGUGUCCAGGUUGUGUAGGUCAUGGUGAAAGUUGUGUAGACGAGGCAUGCUGCCUCGGUUUUUAUUGCAAGACAGAUGAGUUUGGCGACGAUAGAUGUUCAAGUAACACAGCUAAAGAUAGACUGGGUGCAGGCGGUGGACGUAAAUGGAAAGACACCUCUAUAGGUCUAACAGAAUAAAAAAAAUUCUUGACUUUUUUGUCGUUUUAAAUGAAAAUUUCUACUUCAUUGAGACAAACUUCAAACCAUUUAAAAAUACAGAAAUUUUUUCUAAUAAAUGAAAACUAUAAUCCCCUAUCCUAUAUAUAAAUAAAUUAUAAGUAAAAUCAUUGUAAUUUUUUGAGUACAUAAUAAAAAGCAUUUGAUGAAC